AACGUAGGACACAAGCGUUAUCCGGAGUUACUGGGCGUAAAGGGCGUGUAGGCGGACGUGUAAGUCUAUUCUGAAAGCUCCUGGCUAAACUGGGAGAGGCGAAUGGAGACUGCAUAUCUAGAGUGAGGAAGAGGAAAGUGGAAUUCCUGGUGUAGCGGUGAAAUGCGCAGAUAUCAGGAAGAACACCAAUGGCGAAAGCAGCUCUCUGGGACGGUACUGACGCUGAGACGCGAAAGCGUGGGGAGCGAACAGG
rnacentral:rRNA from 1 species